rnacentral:lncRNA from 1 species
GUCUUGGGCUCCAGAGGAAGCACAGGGAGGACAGGCUCAGACUCUGGAACCAGUGGGUCAGCAGCCCCUGGCCAGGCAGAGAUGGGCAAUGUCCACCCUGGGAGGGCCCUGCCUGGAGACCAGGGAGAGCAGGGCUGGACUGGACCCGUCUGGGUGUGGACGCUAGCACCUCCCUCCCGGCAGCAUCUGGCUGAGAUCUGCUGCUCUCAGGAGGAACCGAUGGGGUCUUAAGGUCAGUCCCACAGAAGCUGCAGCCUGGGGCGGGAGGAUGCCGGGGAAGUGCCUGCGGGGCUCAGUCCCACAGAAGGUGCAGCCUGGGGCGGGAGGAUGCCGGGGAGGUGCCUGCGGGGCUCAGUCCCACAGAAGCUGCAGCCUGGGGCGGGAGGGUGCCCGGGAGGUGCCUGCGGGGGCCAGUCCCACAGAAGGUGCAGCCUGGGGCGGGAGGAUGCCCGGGAGGUGCCUGCGGGAGGAGGCAUCCAGCUGUGACGGGAAGUGAGCUCCUGGAGGUGCAGAGAAGUCCAAACAGGGAGCCAGGCCUCAAGGCCGCACUUAAAGCCGGUCGUGGAGAUGAGUGUGCGGAGUGAGAGGGAUGCUUGGAAACCUGUGGGCCUCUCUCGCAGUAUCCCUCUCAGUACAGUAGCCUUUCGCGGUUCUGGUGGCCUCAUGGUUUGGCCCAAGCAUGGCUGCACCACUGUGUCCAGGGACAAGUGUCCUGGGCUCUCCGUGGGGAGCUGGCCAGGAGCCGCUGGGGAGGUGAGGAGAUCUUCGUGCAGAGCCAGUGCCAGCCCUCACUGACCACGGAACACCUUCAGC